CUUGCCCUACGGGGGGCAGCAGUGAGGAAUAUUGGUCAAUGGGCGCGAGCCUGAACCAGCCACGUCGCGUGAGGGAAGACGGUCCUAUGGAUUGUAAACCUCUUUUGUCGGGGAGCAAAAGACGCCACGCGUGGCGUUCCGAGAGUACCCGAAGAAAAAGCAUCGGCUAACUCCGUGCCAGCAGCCGCGGUAAUACGUAGGGAGCGAGCGUUGUCCGGAUUUACUGGGUGUAAAGGGUGCGUAGGCGGGUAAGCAAGUCAGAAGUGAAAUCCAUGGGCUUAACCCAUGAACUGCUUUUGAAACUG
rnacentral:rRNA from 1 species